AGGAAGAGAGACACAGCUCACAGUGAAAUUAUUGCUAAUGUGACUUACAAUGAUAUUUCUCAAGAUGGAACACAGUACAGAGAAUACCUAAUUGGCUAUCUAAACAUCUCUCAGUAUAAGACACAGAUUUUUACUACAACUCAGAAGAAAUAGUUGUAGAGGAAUAUAGAUUUCCUACUGGAGUGAGAAACCAUACUGGAACCAUAUUCUGAAAUCAUGGACUUUACAAUGACUUUUGGUGGCAUGUGAAUUUGAAUUCAGAAGAAACACAUCAAUUAAAGGACCACUCUAGGCACCCAGACCACUUCAGCUUAAUGAAGU